UACGGGGGGGGCAAGCGUUGUUCGGAAUUACUGGGCGUAAAGGGCUCGUAGGCGGCCAACUAAGUCGGAUGUGAAAUCCCCAGGCUCAACCUGGGAACUGCAUCCGAUACUGGAUGGCUUGAAUUCGGGAGAGGGAUGCAGAAUUCCAGGUGUAGCGGUGAAAUGCGUAGAUAUCAGGAGGAACACCCGUGGUGUAGACGGCUUGCUGGACGGUCACUGACGCUGAGGCACGAAAGCGUGGGGAGCAAACAGG
rnacentral:rRNA from 1 species